rnacentral:rRNA from 1 species
ACUCAAAUGAAUUGACGGGGACCCGCACAAGCGGUGGAACGUGUGGUUUAAUUCGAUAAUAAGCGAAAAACCUUACCGAGACUUGACAUCUCUGGAAGGCCCUAGAGAUAGGGCUGUGCCGAAAGGAGCCAGAUGACAGGUGUUGCAUGGCUGCCGUCAGCUCGUGUUGUGAAAUGUUCGGUUAAGUCCGUCAACGAGCGCAACCCUCAUCGUAUGUUGUAUUUUUCAUACGAGACUGCCCUGGUCAACAGGGAGGAAGGUGGGGAUGACGUCAAGUCAGCAUGACUCUUACGUCUCGGGCUACACACGCGUUACAAUGGCCGGUACAAUGGGCUGCCAACCCGCGAGGGGGAGCCAAUCCCAACAAAACCGGUCCCAGUUCGGAUUGGAGGCUGCAACUCGCCUCCAUGAAGUCGGAAUCGCUAGUAAACGUGAAUCAGCACGUCACGUUGAAUACGUUCCCGGGUCUUGUACACACCGCCCGU